UACGAACCGUGCGAACGUUAUUCGGAAUCACUGGGCUUAAAGCGUGUGUAGGCGGGCGAUCAAGUACCUUGUGAAAUCCCACGGCUCAACCGUGGAACUGCUGGGUAUACUGGUUGUCUUGAGCCAGCUAGGGGCGAGCGGAACAGACGGUGGAGCGGUGAAAUGCGUAGAUAUUCGGAAGAACACCAGUGGCGAAGGCGGCUCACUGGACUGGUAUUGACGCUGAGGUGCGAAAGCGUGGGGAGCAAACAGG
rnacentral:rRNA from 1 species